AAUCAACGCUGGCGGCGUGCCUAACACAUGCAAGUCGAACGCGAAAAGGGGCAACCCUGAGUAGAGUGGCGUCCGGGUGAGUAACACGUGGAUAAUCUGCCUGCGGGCGGGGAAUAACUUUCCGAAGGGAGGCUAAUACCGCAUAACACCGUAAUAGGGCGAUCCUGAUACGGUCAAAGAAGGGGGAGUCGCAAGACCUCUCGCCUGCAGAGGAGUCCGCGGCCGAUAGCAGUUGGCGAGGUAACGGCUCACCAAGGCAGCGAUCGGUAGCCGGCCUGAGAGGGCGAACGGCCACACUGGCACUGAAAUACGGGCCAGACUCCUAC
rnacentral:rRNA from 1 species